rnacentral:rRNA from 1 species
AUUGAACGCUGGCGGCAGGCUUAACACAUGCAAGUCGAGCGGAGAGAGGUAGCUUGCUACUGAUCUUAGCGGCGGACGGGUGAGUAAUGCUUAGGAAUCUGCCUAUUAGUGGGGGAUAACAUUUCGAAAGGAAUGCUAAUACCGCAUACGUCCUACGGGAGAAAGCAGGGGAUCUUCGGACCUUGCGCUAAUAGAUGAGCCUAAGUCGGAUUAGCUAGUUGGUGGGGUAAAGGCCUACCAAGGCGACGAUCUGUAGCGGGUCUGAGAGGAUGAUCCGCCACACUGGGACUGAGACACGGCCCAGACUCCUACGGGAGGCAGCAGUGGGGAAUAUUGGACAAUGGGCGCAAGCCUGAUCCAGCCAUGCCGCGUGUGUGAAGAAGGCCUUAUGGUUGUAAAGCACUUUAAGCGAGGAGGAGGCUACUUUAGAUAAUACCUAGAGAUAGUGGACGUUACUCGCAGAAUAAGCACCGGCUAACUCUGUGCCAGCAGCCGCGGUAAGAC